rnacentral:ncRNA from 1 species
CUCCACUCAAGUGGAGACUUAUGCGGAAUCAACCGCGUAGCGAGUAGAACUCGCAUUAGGCUCUGAACAAGGAGAAAACAAAAUG